UACAGAGGUCCCGAGCGUUGUUCGGAUUCAUUGGGCGUAAAGGGUGCGUAGGCGGCGGGGCAAGUCUGAUGUGAAAUCCUGGGGCUCAACCCCAGAACUGCAUUGGAUACUGCCUUGCUAGAGUACUGGAGAGGGAACUGGAAUUUACGGUGUAGCAGUGAAAUGCGUAGAGAUCGCAAGGAAGGCCAGUGGCGAAGGCGAGUUCCUGGACAGUGACUGACGCUGAGGCACGAAGGCCAGGGGAGCAAACGGG
rnacentral:rRNA from 1 species